AACGAACGCUGGCGGCAGGCUUAACACAUGCAAGUCGAACGCCCCGCAAGGGGAGUGGCAGACGGGUGAGUAACGCGUGGGAAUCUACCCAUCUCUGCGGAAUAGCUCUGGGAAGCUGGAAUUAAUACCGCAUACGCCCUACGGGGGAAAGAUUUAUCGGGGAUGGAUGAGCCCGCGUUGGAUUAGCUAGUUGGUGGGGUAAAGGCCUACCAAGGCGACGAUCCAUAGCUGGUCUGAGAGGAUGAUCAGCCACAUUGGGACUGAGACACGGCCCAAACUCCGACGGGAGGCAGCAGUGGGGAAUAUUGGACAAUGGGCGCAAGCCUGAUCCAGCCAGGCCGCGUGAGUGAUGAAGGCCUUAGGGUUGUAAAGCUCUUUCACCGAUGAAGAUAAUGACGGUAGUCGGAGAAGAAGCCCCGGCUAACUUCGUGCCAGCCGCCGCCGUAA
rnacentral:rRNA from 1 species